GACGAACGCUGGCGGCGUGCUUAACACAUGCAAGUCGAACGGUGAAGCGCCUUCCUUUUUGGUGGGUGUGGAUGAGUGGCGAACGGGUGAGUAACACGUGAGUAACCUGCCCCCUUCUUCUGGAUAACCGCAUGAAAGUGUGGCUAAUACGGGAUAUUCUGGGUCUGUCGCAUGAUGGGUCUGGGAAAGAUAUUGUUUCGGUGGGGGAUGGGCUCGCGGCCUAUCAGCUUGUUGGUGGGGUGAUGGCCUACCAAGGCGGUGACGGGUAGCCGGCCUGAGAGGGUGGACGGUCACACUGGGACUGAGACACGGCCCAGACUCCUACGAGAGGCAGCAGGGGGGAAUAUUGCACAAUGGGCGCAAGCCUGAUGCAGCGACGCCGCGUGAGGGAGGGAGGCCUUCGGGUUGUGAACCUCUUUCGCCAGUGAAGCAGGCCUGCCUCGUUUGUGGGUGGGUUGACGGUAGCUGGAUAAGAAGCGCCGGCUAACUACGUG
rnacentral:rRNA from 1 species